rnacentral:lncRNA from 1 species
UAACACAUUACUUACAUUGGAUAUGUAUAUUAAUUAACUAACAGACACAGAUAUAGAUAUACUAUGUAUGUAUGAAUACAUAUAAAUAUAUGUAUGAAUAUUUAAAUCGGAUGAUAAGUUGUUAAUUGAUGUACGUUCUUGUGUGACUUCAUCGUCUUCAGCUUUGCCAGAUAAAUAUUUGACUGUCCACUGAUUUGGAAUAGACCAGUAGUUCGUGACUAAAAUCUGUGGAGCAUUUGAUUGGUUUGAAUAGGUCUGCAAUAGAGAUAUAAUAUAAUAAUUAUUAUACUAGAGAUUCAUAACAACAUACAUUCAUCAAUACAUACACACACACACACACACACAUAUAUAUAUAUAUAUAUGUAACGUACCAUUUUUUUUUUCUUUAACAGUAUAAUUUAAGACAAUUCUAUAAACCAUCAUACAACUUUCAUGUCAAAUCAAUCACACACAAAAAAAUAUUUUCAUACUUUAUUAUUUAAAAUUAAUAUAAAUUUACAAUUCUACAUAUAGAUAAUACAAUCUCAUACACUUCCAGCAGACAUUAUCUAAACUACUAUAAAUUUUUACACACUACAAUCCGCCCACAAAUAAAAUCCUUGUCCUAUGGCACUAUAUACUAAGCUCAAAAAUUAGUAACUCAAAUCCUGACUCUAUUCUUAUUUCAUCUAUUAAUGAUAAAGAGUGAGUUCACAUAAUUCAAUACAGUAAAAAAUUAAGUUGCAAUUAUAAUAUACAAUAACAGAAAAUUCAGUAUGUCUAUAUGCAUUUCAUCUGCACAAAUCUAAGCUAUAACUUAGAGCCACCCUAGAACUAUUCAUCAUUAACUUAUCCCGAAACUAGUUGUGGUUACCAAUAACACAUGCAACAACAGGAAACCCAGUAUUCCCAUAUGUACCCUAUCUAUACAACCUAAGUCCUACUUUAAUAUCACCCCGGGACUAUACCGAAUCAACUUGUCCCGUUAAGUUAGUUAUAUUGAUAUCAAAUGUGACUGCCUUCCAAAGUCACCCCAUUAGUACAAAUGUUCUCACUCGUCACCAAUAUCGGCGACCAACACUCAAUUUUCUAUAUCUUGACCCCUAAUAGGCCACACACACACAGAGAUACCAUCAUCUCCUGUCACCAACAUUGACGACCCAACCCCUUGCCCGUUGGGGUCUCCCGACCAUCACCACUAUCGGCGAUCAACCUACUUUUUCUAGGUAGCGACUACCAAUAUCGGCGUCUCCCAAUACUUCCAACUCAAGGACCAUACCAUCCCGUACUCGUUUCACCAUGUUAUAUUGAGGCUCCCCUAUUCCUUUACCCUGUAUACCGACCCUACACACAUCUCCCUGUAUGACACACACUAACAUUUUACACAUACGUCGGUAAUGUUCCCUCGCCAACCCUUAAAUUUAUAGCAGCUAUACCAACCUAUAUACAACCCACACUCUCACACCACACAACUACCAACACACUCCUACUCCUAUACCUUAAACCACACCUUACAGGCCUCUCUUUUCUUUUCCCAAUUUCUAGCAUCUACACUAUUCUCCCCUUCUAUACUUACCUCUCCCUACCGUCAUACCGCGCCUCCCCUCUUACCCGAAACUCUUCACACACAUCGAACUCCUCUUCUACAGCCCACUCUAAAGACUCCUUGCACAGUCAUGAACUCUCCUCUCUAUCACAGAUCUCACACCCUGCUUUCCUUCUUCUUCUACCUCCCACGACCUGUUCAAAAUAUCACAACUCACAAACUCACCACUCAUAUCUCUCACAGAACACUAAUUGAAUGCAUUCUUCCUUCUCUUUCCUUCUGCGACCUCCUCCGCGCACCUCGCUCGCACACACACAAACUCUAUUCGCCAUCACAGAUCUCACUCACUCACCGACCUCCUCGGUUACUCUCUCUUCCCGCGACCUUCACCAUGUGCUUACACUCAUUUUACAUAAAAUAUCCACCCUCUCUCAUAGACCUCUCCCACACUCAAAUGUCUUCAUUUUCUCUCUUCCCGCAGCCUCCUCCGUGAACGCCUCAAUUGUUCAACCUGCCAUCAACACCUGCCUGUAUCUAUAUCUUAGUUCUGUUACUCUACAUACUAACCAAAACCUAUAUUUCUCAACCUAAAAUCACAAUCUCGAAUCGCUCCACUCCUAUACAAUAACUCAAAAUUUUAACGUACCUCCCAUCUCCAUCUUUUUUCCUCCCAUAGCUCGCACUGUUCCGGUCAUCCUUCCUGUUCACUCUCUUUUCUCGUUUCUCUCCAAUCCAGCUACUCUCUCUCUCUCUCUCUCGAACCUUCUCUUCCUGCCCCCGAUCUCUCUCUUUUCUGUUUUAUUUCUUUUCC